ACCGAACAGUUGUGACCUGUAGAAAAAUAUUCUGACCGACGCUCAAAUCAGCAAGAUCACAAGAAGAUUGAUAUGUAUAUGAUUAGAUCGAAAGUACAUUACCUGAUUGUUAACUCUGUAUUUAUAGACAUUAAGUUCAAUAAUUGACAUUAAGUAUCUGUAAAUAUUAUAUCUUUUUUUUCUCCUUUCAUAAUAUUCACCAAUUAAAGUCUUUAAUUGUCUUUCAAUACUGUCUUUAACGCUUCAUCACCGUUCAACCGCCUAUCUACACUUCUUCAAUUUCAAGCGACCGAUCUCUUAUUGUCUCCACCCUGAUCGAUCGGCCGCCUCCCUCCUCACACACAUAUGCUAUUAUAAUUAAGAUUUUAAUAUUUAAAUAUACCUUUUUAAUAACAUUUUUUUCUCUUUUAAUAUUU
rnacentral:lncRNA from 1 species